rnacentral:tRNA from 1 species
GCCUGGGUGGCUCCGUCGGUUGGAGCGUUCGACUUUGGCUCAGGUCAUGAUCUUGGGGUUCGUGGGUUCAAGCCCCACGUCAGGCU